UUUCUUCGAUGCGCAAAAUGCUUGGUAAACACCCAGUUUAUAUUCAGGGACAAAUGGUUGUUGACAAUAAUUGGCGUAGGUUCAGCUGCGUGUUCCAUGAUCCAUUUGUAUUCUACCCAAUUGUACACUGACAAAGCAUUGCGGUGUUCUCAUAUUACGCUCCACUAUGGUUGGAACAGUCGCAUACAAUAUACGUGUAAGUACACGGGUCAAUGGAUGUCACGGUGACAUUGUCAGUGUCAUUUUAAAGCAUCUGUAGUUAACCCUCUCUUGAGAAAAACAUAAUUAGAUAGUAUUAGGUUCGUACCUUAAAGUUCAUAAAGUAUGAUUGUUGUAAUCUGACUGUAAAUACAAGCAAAAAGGUGUUACCCCUGCCGCCAAAUGAAGGACACGCCAUUGCACGAACCAACUUUACACACAGGACACUCGGGACAACGUCUCUGCAUGGUGGAUUGAUCUUGUGGAUACCCACCUAGCUUGGGAAUGCUACCUCAACCAGGUAGCCAGACGUUUCCAUUGGCAUCACAUGUGACAAAGUUCAUGGAAAUAUACGUGUAGCAGCCUCGACUUACAAGAACAGGAAUUGUUGUCUUUGGGUCCAUCAAGUUGAGGAUAAUACAUGUAUCCCCGGCACAAGCCCCGUGCCCAGGUGGAGCGGCGGCACCCACUACAACAUACACCAUAACUACUGCCAUAAACUACACCGUCUUCAUAUGGGUGCGACCAGGUGAUAGCCAGUAUGUCGUCACCUGCAACCCUACGUGCAGUCCUAUCGCUGGAUACAGUGCAACCCUGGACGCCACACACUCGACACUCACUGUAGACAGUGUUGGGAUGAUAGAUGCUGGGACGUGGGUGAUGGAAGAUGCAGAUGGUGCAUCAACUGCGUCGCAUGACGUGUGUCAGCUGAGCAUCUCAGAUAUUGCUACGACAUCAAGUGACACGCCCACAUCAUUCGAAACCAGAACCCGGUCAGACAACACCACGCCACCAGUCUCCCCAUCGACAUUCGAUGGCUCGUCCUUAGGUCUUUCUCUAGGACUUGGGCUGACACUGGCAGUUGUUUUUAUUUGUAUUUAUAUUGCAGUGUAUUUCGUCCGGAAAAAUUAUUGGUGACACUGUCGUAGAUUUUGUUUGUUUGUUAGUUGUUUCAAUCCGCACUUGAAUGACCCAACUGAAUGAGACUGGUUUGAAGUGAGUCUCUGGUAACAAUACAUUCCAUAACCCUACCUGCACGCAAGGUCUUAUUAUAAACAUGCUGGUUAGAGAAAUUUGAAAUUUUAUCAGAACAUGAUACAAACUUAUCCAGUGA